AACGAACGCUGGCGGCAGGCCUAACACAUGCAAGUCGAGCGCCCCAGCAAUGGGGAGGCGGCAGACGGGUGAGUAACGCGUGGGUAUCUACCUAGUGGUGCGGAAUAGCCCAGGGAAACUUGGAGUAAUACCGCAUAAGCCCGAAAGGGGAAAGAUUUAUCGCCCAAGGAUGAGCCCGCGUCGGAUUAGCUAGUUGGUGAGGUAAAGGCUCACCAAGGCGACGAUCCGUAGCUGGUCUGAGAGGAUGAUCAGCCACACUGGGACUGAGACACGGCCCAGACUCCUACGGGAGGCAGCAGUGGGGAAUAUUGGACAAUGGGCGAAAGCCUGAUCCAGCAAUGCCGCGUGAGUGAUGAAGGCCUUAGGGUUGUAAAGCUCUUUUACCCGGGAUGAUAAUGACAGUACCGGGAGAAUAAGCCCCGGCUAACUCCGUGCCAGCAGCCGCGGUAAU
rnacentral:rRNA from 1 species